CCAGCUUGCAGGAUGGACCAAAGUGGGCAGGUGGGUGAGGCCCCAACACUGCAACAAAAUAUGUCUCUACCGGAUGCAAAUCACAAGCUCAGGGACUCCUUCCAGCCCCCUGAUGCUGAGCCAGCUCCUGCCUUCCAGACAGAUCUAGGACCUGACAAUCCUGCUCAGAGAUGGUAGUUCCUGCGGAGACCCUCACUUGCCCUGCUCUUCUGUAGCUUCCUUGCAAUAAAGUCAAGUCGAUUUUGCUGGA